rnacentral:rRNA from 1 species
UCACCGCCUAUCAAGUCCUGACAAACUCCGAAUGCGCAUCAGUUCGACCCCGGGAGUGAGGGCAUGGGUGCUAAGGUCCGUGCCCGAGAGGAGAACAAUCCGGACCAUCAGCUAAGGCCCCGAAAUGACAGCUAAGUUAAACUAACGAAGUCAGAUUGCUAAGACAGCUAGGAUGUUGGCUUGGAAGCAGCCAUUCAUUUAAAGAGUGCGUAACAGCUC